rnacentral:tRNA from 1 species
GGAAAGAUGCCGGAGCGGUCGAUCGGGACGGUCUCGAAAACCGUUGUACUCUUACGGGUACCCAGGGUUCGAAUCCCUGUCUUUCCGCCA